UGCUAUGAUGUUGUAAUUUGCAUCGUAUCUGGUAUUCAGGGACAGUAGCCUGCUGUCUACAUACUGUUGCCAUUGAGCUGAAGACUUUGUGAGACUGAGCA